GUCUCCUCCCCUCCCCCCUGCCUCGCCCCAGCCUCUCCCGACACCGCGUUCCUCGGCGUGGAAGGCAUGCUCCAGGGGCAUGUUGUCUUGUCACGACUAUAGGGUCACCUCUCCAUCUCACUCCUUGGAGGGGUUGGGGACGGGGGCUCAUGCACCCGAGUGGUGACGCGGCCUCUUUCCCAGCCUCUCCGAGUUCGGGGCUGGGGCGGGGUCUUGCGUGGCUGGUUUCUGCUGUGGGGUGGGGGUCUCUCUGUGACCCUGAAUGUCCAGAGACCUGAGUUGGGGGCCGUGCGCAUCCUUUGUGCCCCACUUCCCCUCCUCCCAGUUUAGGCGUGGGGGCGGGGGGACCGCAUGGAUGCGGUUCCUCUUUCUCUCCCUGGUGUCUGGGCGGCGCCUUCCCCAUUCACUCAGCAGGUCUCCCAGUUUGCCGCCUCCCCACUCCAUCACCCCCCCCCCCAAUCUUUCCCACUGACACAUCCUUUAAAGACGUUUCGGGAAGAAAAAAAAUGUAGGACCCCCUCUCCUAAAAGAAAAAAGAAAAAAAAACCCAGCCUCAAUGAUGUAAAAUCGAAACCACCUUUCUCACGUUUUUUUUUUUGUUUUUUUUUUUUUUAACAAAAGGCUUCCUUUUAACCAUUCCCCAAAGCAAGUCUGUUAGGAAGGGAGGGAUAUGUGUGUUGCUGGCAUUCCCAUUCAUGGCCCUCUAUAUAGCAUCUUCAUUUUUCAUUUUAUUUAUUUUCCAUUUCAAAGGGUUAACUAUAAUGCCUUUGAAUGUUAACUGACUGAGAUAUGCAGUUUCUCUUUUAAUUGCAGGCACGAGUCUGCAGAAAUUCGUUUGAGUGUAAAAAAAUAUUCUGUCUGAUCUGAUACUGCAAACAAAGCGGUGGUGGGAGGCAGUAUCAAGUCAUUCCAGAAGAUUCUGCAUUUGUCAUAUUGCAGAGAGCCUAGACUGGGUGGAGGCUGGGAGGAUUUAUUUUAAAGGGGAAAAAGUCUUUUUAAAAGAAUUUUUUUUUUUUUUGUUAAAUGUAUCCGAGGCUUUUUUUCUUCUGACCUAAUGUAUCCUCGUUCUGACGAGAAGGGAAUACUGUCGCAUUUUUGUCUGAGAUGCAAAAUCCUAACUAGUUGCACCAUUUUGUCAGUUACUCUCAAUUUAUUAAUGAAUUGGGGACCAGUUUGCCAGCGGGGGUGGGGGGGAGGUGCUCAAUAUUCCAAAAUUCAGUAGAAAAAUUACUAUUACAGUUUUCAAAAAUUAAUAAUUGGGUUUUCCACUCUGUUAAUAUCUAACUUCCUAUCUUAUGUAACAAAGGUUGUUAAAUACAUCUCUGGUGUAAAGUGGGUGCUGGAGUGCCCCCUCCCUGUUAAACCUUACAAAUGAAACCCGGAGAGAGAGAGAGAGAGAGACUAUUUAAUUUUAAAUGAUUUUUUUUCUUUGUUUUUUCAAAAGGCCAGGUGCUUAUCCUUUCCUAAUUAAAUAAGCUACAGAUGUUUUUUGUUUUACAAAAAAUAAUUGGUUUUAAAACCAGAAAUACUAUUGUAUUAGUGUGUUGUUACAGUUGCCUUUUUUAAAUAACAGUUAAACCAUUAAAGGAUACAAACUGGACUCUCAGUAGGUCACUAAUGCUGGAAAUGUCUUCAGUUUGUGAUAUCUAGACUCUAAUUUUCCCCUAUUUCUAGUUCCACAGGAGAGCGAGUGACCUCGCACCUAUAUCCAUAGCAACCCAGUGAUGUCACACACAAUGACACAGAGGCUGCAAUGCACCUAAGGGCUGGUAGGGAGUUUUCAGAUGGCAUUUGUCCAAGAAUUGCCAGCCAUGUGUGUGUAAGCCAGAGGACCGCUUGCAGGUGUCGGUUGUCUGUCUACCGUGUAGGUCUGGGGAAUUGAACUCAGGUCAUGAGGCUUGCCGACAAGCAUCUUCACCUGCUGAGCCAUCUCACCAGCCCUUACAUACUUUAUCCACCCCCCAAAUAAUUGGGAGAAAAUUUCUCAUCCGCUUCCUGAAUUCUUAGAGAUAAAGGAUAUGGUUUAAUAUGUAUGCUAUCAUUCUGUUCUGAUUAAAGGCAGCCCCCAGCAGCUGGAGUCCAUGUCUGAUGCUUCAGGGACUGUCAUUUAUGACGACUAAUUCUGUGUUGUCGAGAAGGAAGAAAAAUAGAUUGGGUUUUGUUUUUCCUGUCUCUUCCCCCCCCUUUUUUUUGAGACAGGUUCUCACUGUGUAGACCAAGCUGGCCUUGAACUCAGCCACCUGUUUUCAGCCCUUGUUUGCCCAGUGCCGGAAUUACUGGACAGAUAUAUCACAUCCAACUGAUAGAUACCUGGUUUGUUUUGUUUUGUUUUGUUUUUAGAUAAAUUUCACAGCAUAUUAACUUAGCCCAAUCCAGUAAGAGAACUUAACACUCACAACUUAAUGGCACUUGGUAUUUCACACCGCCUUAGGCAGCCAUUGCCCCCAGUUCAAAAAAUGAAAGCUGGGUGUGGCUUGUGAGGUAGUCAGGAACAUACAGGAGUACUUAAACCUGCCAAAAGGGACUGAGACAAGGCCUUUGUUUAAAACGGUGCUGGUCUGCAGUUACUGGGUUUCAGAGUGAGAUUGCCUCUGUGCGCCCCCUCCCCCAAGUCAUUGGUAAUUGGUUGCCCUUUGGUCUUUAUUUUUGGCGUCUGACUCUUUCAUAGAGCAGAGGAAGGGACUUGGCUUCUAGCUAGGUUUGUGUUUUCAUUUAAAGAGUCAGUUCAUAAAAGCCAUAUGAUGUUCACCUAAACAAACUAGCAAUUCAUCUGAAAUCCGAACAAACUGUUAAAACCUUGGGAGGUUGUGAAAACAUGGCUGGUGCUCCUCAGAGCCCAAGGCCAACUCUUGUGAAUGACUUCCCUGCUGUGUGAUAGUAGGUGCCUCAUGAGCACUCCCCAGGCAGUGACUGAGCCUGCUGAGCUGUUGAAACUUGCCAGAAGGUAGGCAAUGGGAGGUAGGGAACGCAGCUACAAGCUGGCCCUGUGGCUGUGGGUUCAGGAGAGAGUUUCUCCUCCUCUUACUCACCUGCAGUCCUACCAACUGCCACCCUUUAUCUGACUGGACAUCUGAUUCUCUAUUCCUACCAGUUUCAGAUUUUUUUUCUUUUUUUAAAUAUGUGUAUGAGUUUUGCCUUCAUGUAAGCUGUACCGGGUACAUGCAGUGCUCAGAAGAGGGUAUCGGAUGCCCUGGAUCAGGAGUCAGAGGUAGCUGUGAGCCACCAUGUAGGUGCUGGGAACCAGCCCAGGUCCAGUGAAAGCAGCAGUUGCUGUGACUUGCCAAGUGUCUUUCUGGCCCCUCUUUUUAAUUAGUUCAGAGAGAGGGUUUCAUGUAGCCCAGGCUGGCUUCAAAGUUGUUAUGUAGCUGAGGAUGCUCUUCCCCUGAUUCCCCUUCAAGUGCUAGCUAGGCAAGCUUCAUCUCCAACCCUGUUAUAGUCUCUAUUCUAAUCCAAAAGUGCACUGCAGCUGUCUUCAGACGCACCAGAAGAGGGCGUCACAUCUCAUUACAGAUGGUUGUGGGCCACCAUGUGGUUGCUGGGAUUUGAACUCAGGACCUUGGGGAGAGCAGGCAGUACUCUUAACCGCUGAGCCAUCUCUCCAGCGCUCUUUCUUAGUUUUGAGACCGAGUCUCACUGUGUAACCAAGGCUGCCGUCAAACGGGUGAUACUAUUAGAGGAGUCUCACUGCCUCAUACUUCUGUUCAUAUAACCCCCUGCAUUCUGUUUCCUCCGUUACUAAAUAGUCUGGUCUUACGAUGGAGGUACUGCCUGCCUUUUCCACCAUUUUAGGCUAUAAGCUAUAUACAGCUGCCUUAUGUAUGGCCUUUUCUUUCUUUUUUUUUUUUUUUGUCCUCAAAUUCUAUUUUAGGUAUCAGUUAUCACUUUGGUUAUGAAACUAUCAUCUGGUUGGCUUUUUAAAAAAAAAGAUUUUUAUUUUACUUAUUUAUAUGUAUGUGGGUAUGUGCAUGUGAGCUCAGGUGCCCACAGAGGCCAGAACCAAUGGAUUCUGAAUCUGGAGAGUGAGUGUGUGUGUGUGUGUGUGUGUGAGAGUCUAUGCUUAUUGGAACACACUGCAAUGGAGACUGGCCUUGGACUUGGGAUCCUCGGGCAUCUGGAGUGCUGGCAUGGCUAGCCUGUCUCAUUGCACUUAGAGUAUCCAGUAAUUUUAUAAUUGCAACAAGUGUAGACUCUUAACUAAAUACCUUUUUCUUUGCUAUGCCGGGGAAUUGAACAUAGGUCCUGGGUGCCAUGCAUGUGCUAAAACUGAGAUACAUGUUCAUUCCUCUUGCUUUUGAGACAAGUUCUCAAAAAUGUUAUCAGCAGGCCCUGCUUGAACUUGUAGUUGAACUAGAUUAUAAUCUGUACCACCAGGCUCACCUGCUACGUAGACCAUGCUGGCCUUGAACUCCAAUCUCUGCCUCCUGAGUUCUGGCAUUAAAGGCAUGCAGGGCUGCUGCGUGUGUGUCACCGUGCCUGGCCCUUUUCCUGUUAUGAUUAGUUUGCAAGGAAAUAGUAGGCUAGGUGGUAGUUUUCUGGAUUGAUUGAUUUGAUUGAGUCAGGUACCCGCUGAGUGGCUAGCAUGGUACCCACUGUGUAGCCCAGAUGGGCUGGGUGGUGGGGUUGCAGACAGCACCACUUCCAGCUCUCCUCUGUAAGGGGCUGGUGGAAGGUAAGCAGAUUGAUUGCCACCA